rnacentral:rRNA from 1 species
GACGAACGCUGGCGGCGUGCUUAACACAUGCAAGUCGAACGGAAAGGCCCUGCUUUUGUGGGGUGCUCGAGUGGCGAACGGGUGAGUAACACGUGAGUAACCUGCCCUUGACUUUGGGAUAACUUCAGGAAACUGGGGCUAAUACCGGAUAGGAGCUCCUGCUGCAUGGUGGGGGUUGGAAAGUUUCGGCGGUUGGGGAUGGACUCGCGGCUUAUCAGCUUGUUGGUGGGGUAGUGGCUUACCAAGGCUUUGACGGGUAGCCGGCCUGAGAGGGUGACCGGCCACAUUGGGACUGAGAGACGGCCCAGACUCCUACGGGAGGCAGCAGUGGGGAAUAUUGCACAAUGGGCGGAAGCCUGAUGCAGCAACGCCGCGUGGGGAUGACGGCCUUCGGGUUGUAAACCGCUUUCGCCUGUGACGAAGCGUGAGUGACGGUAAUGGGUAAAGAAGCACCGGCUAACUACGUG